CUCCCUCUGUGCACUCGACGGGGCGCUGGGGGUCCGGGAGGAAGUGUGCACGCUGGGGGGCACGGCUCGGCCCAGAAGCCGCCAUCCGCAUCAUGUAAGAAGGGCUUUUCGCCUCCCGCCAUGAUUCUGAGGCCUCCCCAGCCAUGUGGAACUCUGACAGGCUGCGGUCACCACUGCCACCACCACUCUGAAUUAUUCAAGACCCUCCAGGCCUCAGUGGCAGCCCUUCCCCUCUCCCUGUACAACCGGGCUGUCAACACCAGCCUCUGAGCCUCUGCCAGUGAUCUAUGGACCUCAGGGCCCCCGAGCUUUGGCCUGCUCAGGCUCUGCUUGUCAUGGCUGAAAUCCCCUGGACUGCAUUGGGACCAUACCGCUGAGAGUCUGGUCGCUGGGCUUCAGGCUGACAGAACAUCAGAGCCCCAGGACCGAAGAGCCACAGGUUGGGAAGCUGCCACCACUGGGAAUGGUACAUUCAGGAGGGCAUGGUUUUACAGAGAAGUUUGAGGCCCAGAGAUGUGUGAGCUGCACUCCAAGUCACACAGCAAGUUUGGUUCAUUAGCAGGGACCGCCACGGAACGGGCUGCAGGCCGCGAGUGUAGAGCUUGGCUGGGCCAGAUCGAUAUCUGCCCGCUGGACUGAUGCGCGAGGGAGGCUGCGAGACAGGCUAGCUUUGCUGCAGUGUGAUGGCCGUGCAGCACCCACCGACCCCCACAGCUCCCCCACCCCGCCAUUUCCUUCAUCUAGCGCUCCAGGGGAAACCGAGGCGGGCAAGUGGCGUAGCGAUGGAGGGCGCACCCAGGGGCAACGACGCUCCCUCGCUCUGGCUCCCAGCUCUGGUGGCGGGGGUGAGGGUAGCCCAGGGUCGCACCCUGCUCCCAACCUCGGCUCGUCCCCACCCUCCACGGUCGUCCGCAGCUCUGCGUUUCUGCCAGUAUCGUGACCCCUCGCCCCGUCCUUCGCCCUCCUCCCACUUUCAUUGUGUGUCUCCUCUCUGGCUCUGAGGUUCCUCCUCCCUCCCUUCUCUCUCUGGGUGUCUCCGUGUCUAUCUCCACAUCUCCAUCUCCAUUUCUUUCUCUGCCUGUCUCUGCCUCUAGCUGUCUCUGUCCCUCAGUCUCUGCUCAGGUCUCCGCUCGCCUCUUGCUCAUUUUCGUUCCUCCCUUUGUCUGUCUGACUCUCUCUUCUCUCCCCCGCUUCAGUCACCCCCCAACCCCCCGCACACACACACACCUCACAGCCCUGUUUACGACAUCCCCUGGGCUGGCAGGUAGGCGGGGCUGCAGCAGGCGGGGGUGAGAGAGGGAGACGCAGCCUCCCCCCCAGCUGUUAACCUUCACGCUUCAGGCCUCUGCGGAUGGCAGAGGAGGGGGAAAGCCCAGCUGCCAGCUUGGCGGAGGUGACCGGGCGGGGGUUGGGGGCUGUCCCUCCCUCUGGGCUCGUCUCUGGGGAGAUCUGGGGCCGGAAGGAAUGUGGUGGAGGCUGCCUUCGGCUGAGGAAGGCUGUUGCCGGAUGGGUGGCCUCCUGAAGGCUUGUGCUGGCGAGGCGGGUGCCCAAAGGGGGCUCUGAGCGGUGUCGGCCCUGCCCGCAGCCCGGCCGGACGUGGGGGCCGGCGUGAGAAUCCCGCCCAUCUGUGAGCCGGCCUCACGCCGUCAGACCCAAUUUAUCUCGCCGCCAAAGUUUCACAGCCAUCUGCUCGAGUGGAACGGCUUCCAGCGCUGGCCCCACCGGGCCCCCCAGCCAGCGCGGGGAUGUUUUCCAAUACGACAGCAUUGCCCCCCCAAAGCAAGGAGGGGGUGUAGGGGGAGGCGGCAGAGCGCGGUGCGCGGGGCUGGCAGGCAGCCCUCUCCCGCGAGCGAGCCGACCCUGAAUUUUAAGCGAUUGAUCAGGAAGCGCAGGCCGUUCCCAUCACUUUGAGCAGCCAAAUGCGACGGCGCAGGGAUUUCAAGGGGCCUUUGCGGAGGCGGUAAUGAGGUCACCGUCACUGCGCCAGCCCGCGGGCGGGAGGGGGCGAAGGUCUGCGGACACGUGUGAACACAGCCUGUGAACGGAGCCACAUCUGUAUUCACGUGACCCCCGGGGCCCCAGCACUGACCCAGGAGAACUCGGCAUUUGGAUCUGAGCUGAUUCACACUCCGCCGCCCCCAGCCCACCUCCCCAACCAGACAGGGUCGGAGAGACUGAGCUAGAACCCACCCUUGCCACAUCCAUGAUUCCAUGAUCACCUCAGACAGCUUCAGCGCAGGAGCUUCCACUCUCUUCUCCUCCCCGCUAUGUGCCUAAAAUACACAUAUUUGGGCACCUGCCCAUUGCACUUGUGAACAAGCCUGCAGAGACAGAUGUACCCUAGGCCCCCGGUAAUCACACAGGUGCACACAUUACAAUUACACACCUGACCGCAAUGCUCAUGCAUUGGUACACUCCCAACCAUCACCACUACCAGCCCCAAACAUGCACACAGGUACUCCAUCAUUCUCAAGUCAGCCACCCAGCAACACACGAGACCCCAAACUCCCCUCCCCCCGGGCACACGCAUGUGCACACUCAUUCCCAAGACCCCGAGCUUGCUGCCAUGUCCGGGCGGGUGGGCGCCUCCACUGCCCGCCAGGCAGCGGGGGUGCAGACCUCGAAGAGAACAAAGGCGGGGCAGGUGGGAGGGAGGGGGGCUGAGCCCCCGGCCCGUCCUCCUAGGCAAUGCUCGUCUGUCUCAGCUCCGCGGCCACCGCAUCGAGCGGCUCUGAUUACCAAGUAAAUCACCGCGAUGAUGUGAAUAAUUAUCGUCUCCUGAAAAGGGAAAAAACAGGGAAUAAAUAAAGGGAGAAGGGAGCAGCCACCUGAUUUCUAGAAGCCCUGGUGUAUGUCAGGGGGGUGAAUACAUAGGGGUGGGUGUCAGUGGCCCCCUGCAGAUCCUCGGGACUUCUGCUGGGAUGCAGUGCAGGUGGGGUAGGAUGGGCCUCAGGGCAGACAGUCCUUCCUUAGAGGUGGCAGUUAGCAUCCAGUCUCCCCUCUUCCUCUCCCCAGGGUAAGUCAGGCCCCCGGAGCACCCAACCAAACCCAGCUGGCCUCUCUGCUCCUCACACACUCAGGCCCACCCGACCUGUAGGGCACCCUCCUGUUCCAGGGCUUUGCUCAGCAGGUUCCCCUCUAGCAUGCCCUCUUCCCACUUCUCUGGCUGGCUUCACUCUCCCAUCUCUGAAGUCCAGCCCCACGUUACUUCCUCUGAGAACUUCUUCCUGACUGCCCAGCCCUCCAGGAUCCUCCUUUCCCAGAGUUCCAGUGUCUGAUUGCAUUUUCCCUGACUGAUUUGGGUGUGUUCUCUUGAUCUUCUCAGCCGGAUGGCAGCUUUGGUGGAAGCAGCUAUGUUUUAAGCAAAGCAGUAAUAGUGGCAACAGCAGCAGCCACUACCCUGUUCUGAGCAUUUAGGAUGUGUUGGCCCUGUGCCAAAACACCCUUUCACGAUGGAUCCUCCCCAGAAUCCUGUGUGGAAAGUAAUGUCUCCAUUUUAGUAAUGGGGAAACUGAGGCUUACCAAGAAUGAAGCUUGGAUUCCUUUCCUCCGGGAUGAAGAUGCUGGUCAUCUACGGCACCUUUUCUGCGCUUGUCACCUGAUCCCACAUAUUGGAGGAGCUGCUCCUCUUCCAGUGCUGAGCACUAAGAACACAAUUACCUCAACUGGCUGGGCACAGUGGCUCACGCCUGUAAUCCCAACACUUUGGGAGGCCAAGGUGGGCAGAUUGCUUGAGCCUAGGAGUUUGAGACCAGCUUGGGCAACAUGACAGAACACGAUCUCUACAAAACAAACAAAUGAAAAACACCAAAAAUUAGCUGGGUAUGGUGGUGUGAGCCUAUAAUUCCAGCAGUUUGGAGAGACUGAAGAGGAAGGAUGAUUUGAGCCCAGGAGGUUGAGGUUGCAGUGAACUGUGAUUGUGCCACUAUACUCCGGCCCGGGCAACAGAGCGAGAC